GUCCACGCCGUAAACGAUGGGUGCUAGAUGUCACGGGCUUUGACCCCUGUGGCGUCGUAGCUAACGCGUUAAGCACCCCGCCUGGGGAGUACGGUCGCAAGACUAAAACUCAAAGGAAUUGACGGGGGCCCGCACAAGCGGUGGAGCAUGUGGUUUAAUUCGACGCAACGCGAAGAACCUUACCUGGGCUAGAAAACGCGAGAACCCUGCUGAAAGGUGGGGGUGCUCUUCGGAGAACUCGUGGUUAGGUGCUGCAUGGCUGUCGU
rnacentral:rRNA from 1 species